AUUUACUUACUGCUGAAGUGUUCCUGAGAAACAGACCUACUAUUAGAAUGGGGCCUUCUAAGAGGUGACACACUCCCAGCAAUAAAUUUGAGUAGUUCACUCCAGUAGUAAUUCUUAACACUUACUUUCCUGCCCUCCAGAGAUAUAUGCUGCACAAGGGGACUGAAAUCUUUUGGCUUUGGUACCCUUUGGCUAUUUGAACCAUAGUUCCUACUAUAUGAGUGUUUUAGCAGUAUGCCCUUGUCUAAGCAUUUCAUUUGGUUCUUACUUUGGCACUUAUGAAGCCAAAGAUACUAUGAUACUAUGGUACUUUCUACCGUGUUAUUC
rnacentral:lncRNA from 1 species